rnacentral:rRNA from 1 species
CCUACGGGAGGCAGCAGUGGGGAAUAUUGGACAAUGGGCGCAAUCCUGAUCCAGCCAUACCGCGUGGGUGAAGAAGGCCUUCGGGUUGUAAAGCCCCUUUGUUGUGAAAGAAAUGCAUCGGCCUAAUACCUUGCUGUUCUGCCGGUCCCCAAAGAAUAAGCCCCGCCUAAUUUCGUCCCAGCAGCCGCGGUAAUACGAAGGGUCCAAGCGUUUCUCGGAAUUUCUGGGCGUAAAGCGUGCGUAGGUGUUUGUUUAAUUCUGUUGUGAAACCCCUGGGCUCACCCUGGGCACUCCAGUGGAAACUGCAUGACUAGAGUGUGGUAGAGGGUAGCGGAAUUCCCGGUGUAGCAGUGAAAUGCCUAGAGAUCGGGAGGAACAUCCAUGGCGAAGGCAGCUUCCUGGCCCUACACUGACAUUGAGGCACGAAAGCGUGGGGACCAACACAGGAUUAAGAUCCCCUGGUAUGUCCACCCCCUAACCGAUGCGACUCUGGAUGUUGGGCGCUCUUUGGCANGCAGUAUCG